rnacentral:tRNA from 1 species
GAUUAAGUGGUAAUAGGCAAUAGAUUGUAAAUCUAUUUAUAAGAAUUAUUCUUCUUAAUCA